CGGAGCUUGCUCCACCGGAAAAAGAGGAGUGGCGAACGGGUGAGUAACACGUGGGUAACCUGCCCAUCAGAAGGGGAUAACACUUGGAAACAGGUGCUAAUACCGUAUAACAAUCGAAACCGCAUGGUUUUGAUUUGAAAGGCGCUUUCGGGUGUCGCUGAUGGAUGGACCCGCGGUGCAUUAGCUAGUUGGUGAGGUAACGGCUCACCAAGGCCACGAUGCAUAGCCGACCUGAGAGGGUGAUCGGCCACAUUGGGACUGAGACACGGCCCAAACUCCUACGGGAGGCAGCAGUAGGGAAUCUUCGGCAAUGGACGAAAGUCUGACCGAGCAACGCCGCGUGAGUGAAGAAGGUUUUCGGAUCGUAAAACUCUGUUGUUAGAGAAGAACAAGGAUGAGAGUAACUGUUCAUCCCUUGACGGUAUCUAACCAGAAAGCCACGGCUAACUACGUGCCAGCAGCCGCGGUAAUACGUAGGUGGCAAGCGUUGUCCGGAUUUAUUGGGCGUAAAGCGAGCGCAGGCGGUUUCUUAAGUCUGAUGUGAAAGCCCCCGGCUCAACCGGGGAGGGUCAUUGGAAACUGGGAGACUUGAGUGCAGAAGAGGAGAGUGGAAUUCCAUGUGUAGCGGUGAAAUGCGUAGAUAUAUGGAGGAACACCAGUGGCGAAGGCGGCUCUCUGGUCUGUAACUGACGCUGAGGCUCGAAAGCGUGGGGAGCAACAGGAUUAGAUACCCUGGUAGUCCACGCCGUAAACGAUGAGUGCUAAGUGUUG
rnacentral:rRNA from 1 species